GGCGUUUACCGUGGAUGUACUUUCUGGUGGUACUAAUCAGGAUUACAAGGGAUGUGUUUUCUCACCAAGCCCGAGGGGUGGCUCAUGACCCCUUUAUGGAGGAGGGGAGUAGGAGGGACCGCCCUGUUCUUCCUCAGGAGGCGACCAGGCUUUGCACUUUGCCGGCGCUUCGGCCAUCUGGACGACCCGGAAUAGGAGAUACGGACAGCUUGACACCUGUUCGAAGAAAAGUACAAAAAGAAGUCUGCGAACCAAUACUCCAGCGAUGUGACACUAUGUCCGCCAGCGAUCCACUGAUACUACAUCCGCCACGUGCAGCCGUUCACGAGAUCUGGUGCCAAUGAAAUCUAUGUAAGCGAGUCUGGGGGCUAUGGUCAAUGGCAAAAUAAAAGAGACGCGAGUUCACA